CUUCUUUUCCAGUUAUAAGCAGGAGGAUUGGGCCUUCGUGUUUUGUGUGAUGUGUGCUUCCCAUUAACCCAGUGACAACAUCGGCACAUUACCCGUCUGCCA